rnacentral:tRNA from 1 species
GCGCCCGUAGCUCAAUUGGAUAGAGUAACUGGCUUCGAACCAGUAGGUUGGAGGUUCGAGUCCUCCCGGGCGUA